GACGAACGCUGGCGGCGUGCUUAACACAUGCAAGUCGAACGGAAAGGCCCUGCUUUUGUGGGGUGCUCGAGUGGCGAACGGGUGAGUAACACGUGAGUAACCUGCCCUUGACUUUGGGAUAACUUCAGGAAACUGGGGCUAAUACCGGAUAGGAGCUCCUGCUGCAUGGUGGGGGUUGGAAAGUUUCGGCGGUUGGGGCUGGACUCGCGGCUUAUCAGCUUGUUGGUGGGGUAGUGGCUUACCAAGGCUUUGACGGGUAGCCGGCCUGAGAGGGUGACCGGCCACCUUGGGACUGAGGUACGGCCCAGACUCCUACGGGCGGCAGCAGUGGGGAAUAUUGCACAGUGGGCGGAAGCCUGAUGCAGCAACGCCGCGUGCGGGAUGACGGCCUUCGGGUUGUAAACCGCUUUCGCCUGUGACGAAGCGUGAGUGACGGUAAUGGGUAAAGAAGCACCGGCUAACUACGUG
rnacentral:rRNA from 1 species